GUCUAGAUGUGAUCCAGGCGGGUUCAAGUGCCUGAAGAGCAUAUUUACCGAAAGAAAUAUGAUUACCUCGAUAAGAUAUUCCCUUCAUUCUUCCUCUAUGUUGUUUACGGAAUCUGGUUCUUUUGGGGUUAUAGUUGAUGGUUGGUUCUGAAUUCCAUCUCUACUACAGAACUGGACGUGAGAGUUUCUUCUCAUCCAGCUCCUCGCGAAUAAGAAAAUCUUCAACUUCUCUAUUAUUCGUUUGUAUAUCUUGUUUUUUUAGAUAACUAAACAUAUUAAUAUUUCUAUUUUAAAUAUUGUAUGACUUUUUAUAAUGUUAUAACGAAUCUUAAUUUUGUUUUGUCUUUUAUUUUCUUUGAUUGACUAAAAUUUAGCAAUCCAAGAAAAUAAAGGUUUCGCAGGCGAAUAUUUACUCUUUUCAUCGCUAUUUCAGUUGUAGGGUUAGCUCUUGAUUUUUCUUUUGUUUAUGCAAAAAAGAUUUCAGUUGCUACAACGAUAUGACCGAUAUCUCAUAUCUUGACUGGUUCUUUGGAUCCAGAUAAUGCGAAGUGAUGAGUUGGUUAGUAGUCCUAUAGUUAUUAGUUUAUAGUAAGAGGCUAGUCCUUUUUUUAUUGAAUCCUAACCCUAUAAAAACCAACGAGUCACACACUAAGCAUAGCAAUUAUAUCAAAUGGCUAAUCGAAUUUUUAUUCAACCAUAUAGAAUUAAGAAUUAGAAUUCUUCAUUUUAGUUUUUAUUGAAUAGAAAAAAGGAACGAAUUUCUCUUUUUUGUUCCAUCACUAGAUCGAAGGGAAAGACAAAUAAAGGUUU
rnacentral:lncRNA from 1 species